rnacentral:misc_RNA from 1 species
GUGAUGAUAAAAAUGCUGUGAAAAGUGAGUUAUCUAUUGUGUUUUGUGUUGCUUUAUACACAAUGUGGUCGAUUAAUGCAAUUGUAACAUUUUUUAUGUUAAGAAAUUACAUGAGUUCUAGAAAUGUGUUUUCUUAUCUUCACCUAGAAAAGAAAUGAGGUGUCACUUAUUUGAGUUUUCAGUUUCAUAUUUCUAAGAUUCUAUUUAUGCAUGAAAUUAAACUUUACAUGCUAUGCUCUGUUUUGGGGAUGGUAUUUUAACAAUGCUGUCAUUUUGAAUCUAGUACAUUUGUUUCAAGUUAACAACUACG